CAGCAGCCGCGGUCAAUAUCGUUAGGGGUGCCAAGGCGGUUCAAAUUCCGGCCAAUUCACCUAGCGCGCGGUUAAAAGGCGGUGGGCGCCAAGUGCCGCGUUUGUGUCAAGAUCAGGCGUUCGCACAAUCCCCGGUGCUCAACCUGGGAAUUGCGCUUGUGACUGCACGGCUGGUAGUGCGGCAGAGGGGUGAUGGAAUUCCGCGUGUAGCAGUGAAAUGCGUACGAUAUGCGGAGGAACACCGAUGGCGUAAGGCAAUCCCCUGGGCCUGCACUGACGCUCAUGCACGAAAGCGUGGGGAGCAAACAGGAUUAGAUACCCUGGUAGUCCACGCCCUAAACGAUGUCAACUGGUUGUUGGGUCUCUUCUGACUCAGUAACGAAGCUAACGUCGUGAAGUUGACCGCCUGGGUCUUGCAAGUGAUGAUCAUGCAAGUAAGGCGCGGGAGCCGACGACCUCAUUCUCCUUGUAGUACACCGCCUAAGCGAACGUCGAACCUGUUUUGUUGGGAAUUUAUCGUCCGUGAUACUACAUGUUUACCGCAAAGCUUUAACCGACGACCGAAUGACCGCACCCGCCCUUGGCGAGGUACCGGCCGUCUAGGUAUGAAAACUAUUACGUCAUCGACGGGGACCCGCACCAGCGGUGGAUGAUGUGGUUUGAUUGGAUGCGACGCGAAAUACCUUACCCACUUCUGACAUGGCAGGAAGCCUCCAGAGAUGGAUUCGUGCUCGAAAGAGUAACCAUGCACACAGCGUGCUGCAUGGCUGUCGUCAGCUCGUGUCGUGAGAUGUCGGGUUAAGUCCCGCAACGAGCGCAACCCUUGCCAUUAGUUGCUACGAAAGGGCACUCUAAUGGCGACUGCCGGUGACACAACCGGAGGAAGGUGGGGUAUGACGUCAAGUCCUCAUGGCCCUUAUAGGUGGGGCUACACACGUCAUACAAUGGCCGGUACAAAGGGCAGCCAACCCGCGAGGGGGAGCCAAUCCCAUAAAGCCGGUCGUAGUCCGGAUCGCAGUCUGCAACUCGACUGCGUGAAGUCGGAAUCGCUAGUAAUCGUGGAUCAGCAUGUCACGGUGAAUACGUUCCCGGGUCUUGUACACACCGCCCGUCACACCAUGGGAGCGGGUCUCGCCAGAAGUAGUUAGCCUAACCGCAAGGGGGGCGAUUACCACGGCGGG
rnacentral:rRNA from 1 species